AAGAGCCGGAUGAAUCGAGAGAUUCACGUCCGGAUCCGUGAGAGCGUGAGGGUGCAAUUCCCUUGCGCUACUCGAC
rnacentral:ncRNA from 2 species